ensembl:lncRNA
ACUGACCCACUGGGUUCAGCCCAGACCGUAGACUGUGUUGACCCACUGGGUUCAGCCCAGACCGUAGACUGACCCACUGGGUUCAGCCCAGACCGUAAACUGUGCUGACCCACUGGGUUCAGCCCAGACCGUAGACUGUGUUGACCCACUGGGUUCAGCCCAGACCGUAGACUGACCCACUGGGUUCAGCCCAGACCGUAGACUGACCCACUGGGUUCAGCCCAGACCGUAGACUGACCCACUGGGUUCAGCCCAGACCGUAUACUGUGUUGACCCACUGGGUUCACUGGGUUCAGACCCAGUUCACAGACCGUAUACUGACCCACUGGGUUCAGCCCAGACCGUAAACUGUGUUGACCCACUGGGUUCAGCCCAGAUGACCCACUGGGUUCAGCCCAGACUGACCCACUGGGUUCAGCCCAGAUCGUAGACUGUGUUGACCCACUGGGUUCAGCCCAGACCGUAGACUGUGUUGACCCACUGGGUUCAGCCCAGACCGUAGACUGACCCACUGGGUUCAGCCCAGACCGUAGACUGACCCACUGGGUUCAGCCCAGAUCGUAGACUGUGUUGACCCACUGGGUUCAGCCCAGACCGUAUACUGACCCACUGGGUUCAGCCCAGACCGUAGACCGACCCACUGGGUUCAGCCCAGAUCGUAGACUGUACUGACCCACUGGGUUCAGCCCAGACCCUAGACUGACCCACUGGGUUCAGCCCAGACCGUAGACUGACCCACUGGGUUCAGCCCAGAC